rnacentral:misc_RNA from 1 species
UCUAAAUUGGUUCCUGAUUUAAAAUUUUUCCCUCGAGGGAUUUUUUCCCUGGCUCAUUCAAGUAUUGUUGGUGGGUUGAUUCUUUUUUUCUCAUGGAUCCUCUCAGCAGUUGCAAUGCUUGGGAGUGUAGUUCAACAGUGUACUAAUCUUCCUUAAAUGGCAUAUGAAAAUCUGAUAUGAGUUUAAAAAAUUUUAAAUCAGGAACCAAUUUAGA